rnacentral:rRNA from 1 species
CACGUAGGGCGCAAGCGUUGUCCGGAAUUAUUGGGCGUAAAGAGCUCGUAGGCGGUGUGUCGCGUCGGCCGUGAAAACUUGGGGCUUAACUCUGAGCGUGCGGUCGAUACGGGCAUCACUUGAGUUCGGCAGGGGAGACUGGAAUUCCUGGUGUAGCGGUGAAAUGCGCAGAUAUCAGGAGGAACACCGGUGGCGAAGGCGGGUCUCUGGGCCGAUACUGACGCUGAGGAGCGAAAGCGUGGGGAGCGAACAGG